GCCCGCUUGGCACAGUGGUAAUGCGUCUCACUCGUAAUGAGAAGAUCGGCUGUUCGAUUCAGCCAGUGGGCA
rnacentral:tRNA from 1 species